GAUGAACGCUAGCGGCAGGCUUAACACAUGCAAGUCGAGGGGUAUUGGUUUUCGGACCAAGAGACCGGCGCACGGGUGCGUAACGCGUAUGCAAUCUACCUUUUGCAGAGGGAUAGCCCAGAGAAAUUUGGAUUAAUACCUCAUAGUAUAGUACUUUGGCAUCAAGGAACUAUUAAAGUCACAACGGCAAAAGAUGAGCAUGCGUUCCAUUAGCUAGUUGGUGAGGUAACGGCUUACCAAGGCUACGAUGGGUAGGGGUCCUGAGAGGGAGAUCCCCCACACUGGUACUGAGACACGGACCAGACUCCUACGGGAGGCAGCAGUGAGGAAUAUUGGACAAUGGGCGCAAGCCUGAUCCAGCCAUGCCGCGUGCAGGAUGACGGUUCCUAUGGAUUGUAAACUGCUUUUGUAACAGGGAAGAAACCCUUUCACGUGUGGAAGAUUGACGGUACUGUAAGAAUAAGGAUCGGCUAACUCCGUGCCAGCAGCCGCGGUAAAG
rnacentral:rRNA from 1 species